GUGGGGAAUAUUGGACAAUGGGCGAAAGCCUGAUCCAGCAAUGCCGCGUGAGUGAAGAAGGCCUUAGGGUUGUAAAACUCUUUCGCCGGUGAAGAUGAUGACUGUAGCCGGUAAAGAAGCCCCGGCUAACUCCGUGCCAGCAGCCGCGGUAAUACGGAGGGGGCUAGCGUUGUUCGGAAUUACUGGGCGUAAAGCGCGCGUAGGCGGUGUAUCUAGUCAGAGGUGAAAGCCCUGGGCUCAACCCAGGAAUUGCCUUUGAUACUGGUAUACUUGAGUCCGGGAGAGGGUAGUGGAAUUUCCAGUGUAGAGGUGAAAUUCGUAGAUAUUGGAAAGAACACCAGUUGCGAAGGCGGCUACCUGGCCCGGUACUGACGCUGAGGCGCGAAAGCGUGGGGAGCAAACAGGAUUAGAAACCCUUGUAGUCC
rnacentral:rRNA from 1 species